UGUGUGAGGGCCCUCUUGGUGCAAUAACUAGAUUAACAGGACAAAGCCAAGGGCCAAAAUGUGAGCUGUGAGAUGGUGACAUGCCUCCUUCCCCCAGUACCUGUGCUUUUGUGAACAUAAUUGGCGUCACCUUCUGAAAUAAAUUGCCUGGAGUUUGUUAGCACUGACUCCUGUGCUGGGCCUGGACUGUGGGUCAGGCCUGGCCACUGAGGCCCUGGGUUGGUUGGCUCUUCCCCGACUAUGUCCCAUGCGGGGUGGCCACGUGCACAUCUCCUGCCUGUGCCUUUAAACACCCCGGGCACCGGGCCAGGGGCCGUAGUUUUGUUUGCAGAGUUGCCCAAUCUGAUCCUGGCGUUUGGCAAACAAAGCUCGACUCCCAGAGCCCAAACAAGGAGAAGCAGAUGACCCUCUCACCUUUCCUGACCCCCAGGGAACUCCAGGGGAUCCAAGGAGCACGGGGAUGCUCUCCACUGUCAUAGCCAAGAAGACUUGACCAGCGGCCCGAAGGCCGCCCGGGAGCCCUGGGAGGGGAAAAGGCAGCCCAGCCCACACCGGGCACCGGCUGUAAGAACGGUCACUCCGACAGCCUGGGCCUUGCCUUCUUCCUGCGGAGUCUCGCUUCCCUCCUGGACGGUUCCUCACCCUCCUCUCAGCAGAUGGUGCUCCCACAGAACUCCCAAACGAAACAGGUCUGUGACCCCAAAACCGGUAAGAACCUGCCCUCCACCCACCGAGAAACUCCCCAAGUGCCAAGGCCUAACUCAGAGGCUGAGUCCUCCUGGUGGCCUAUGGCCAUGGCUGAGGAUGGGGGGGGAGGCGGGGGGGCUGGGGGAGGAGCCUUCCCACGCGGCUCUGCCCAUAAACAGGUUCUCCCCAUCAGGCCCGGGCCCAGACACAUGCCCAGGCACUUCUCUUGCGUCUCUGCGUCCCAGCCAACAGAGGGUUGUCCUUCUGUCCCUUCCCUCCCGUCCAGUGUGGCGGCCGCCGGCUCCGCCUGUGAAUGUGCCUCGUCUGAACUGACCUGCUCAGUCAUGGAAAACACACCAGAUUGGGCAAAGGUGGCUCAAAAUAAGAACGCAGAGUUUCUGACUCAUCAUUUUUACAUCGAGGGCACACGACGUGGUCCUAUUUGGGCCCCGUUGAGUUAAAUGUAUGAAGAGAAUUAAUUUCCCGUUUCUUUUUCCUUCCUGUCAGAUGUGACUCAUGAGCUUUUAAUGACAUGGGUGGCUUGUGUUGUAUUUCUACAGGACAGCGCUGGUUGACUUGGCGACACUAAGAGCUACGUGUCUCAGAACCCCUUCCUGGCGGUUCCAAGGCAGAGCUGCCAAAAGGGAAGGGGCAUGAGGUUUGGGGGCAAAGCACCGCCGGGGAGAAGGUCGCCGCGGCCCAGUUUCCAAGUCUGAAGAUCUCAGUCUCGCUCAACCUGACCUCGGAGUGGAGCUGACACCACUGCCCGGCCUCGCCCUCCUCAGCCCUUUCGCCAUUCUCCCCUCCUGACCCCCUCCCUCCCAGCUUCUCCUCUCCCAAGCCUCUGUCCGCUCUCCCAGGAUCCUCCCUGAGCCCACACCCCCUCUCUACACCCUCUUCGAGCACCGUGACAGACUCCUUAUUGAAACGUUCAUCUUCAAGGGGCUGGCUCCCAAAUCUCUCUCUUUCUAACCCUGCUAACGGGAGGUUGCAAAGGGCCCACGUUCAACGUGUCCAAAAUAAAACUCAACUUCCCACCCUCUCCUGCUUCUCCAUCUUUUUUUUUUUUAAUUCCAAAACAUUUAAUUUAGAAGUCCGGCAUUUCAAUAAUUACCCAUCUUGAUUGACAGGGGCUGACGCAUGUGGCGCUGUCAGGAUAAACAAGGACAAUAGCCAAAGGG